rnacentral:tRNA from 4 species
GGCGGACGUAGCCAAGUGGAU